rnacentral:rRNA from 1 species
UGAGGAAUAUUGGGCAAUGCCCGCAAGGGUGACCCAGCAACGCCGCGUGGAGGAUGAAUGUCGUAAGAUUGUAAACUCCUGUUAGAGGGGAAGAAUAGUACCGGUUGGACCGGUAUAUGACUGUACCCUCAGAGAAAGCCCCGGCUAACUACGUGCCAGCAGCCGCGGUAAUACGUAGGGGGCAAGCGUUGUCCGGAUUUACUGGGUGUAAAGGGCGCGCAGGCGGGAUAAAAAGUCAGUGGUGAAAUCCUACAGCUUAACUGUAGAACUGCCUUUGAUACUUUUAUGCUUGAGUUCGGGAGAGAGAGACGGAAUUCCAGGUGUAGUGGUGAAAUACGUAGAUAUCUGGAAGAACACCAGUUGCGAAGGCGGUCUCUUGGUCCGACACUGACGCUGAGGCGCGAAAGCGUGGGGAGCAAACA